UACAGCCAUGUCACCUUUAAACACUGGUUCCCAUACAAUCAUCGAAGUUAAGCAACAUCCAGCCUGGUCAGUAACUAGAUGGGUGACUGCUUGGGAAUACCAG